rnacentral:rRNA from 1 species
UACGGGGGGAGCAAGCGUUGUUCGGAUUUACUGGGCGUAGAGGCGCGUAGGCGGCCAACUAAGUCAGACGUGAAAUCCCUCGGCUUAACCGGGGAACUGCGUCUGAUACUGGAUGGCUUGAAUCCGGGAGAGGGAUGCGGAAUUCCAGGUGUAGCGGUGAAAUGCGUAGAUAUCUGGAGGAACACCGGUGGCGAAGGCGGCAUCCUGGACCGGUAUUGACGCUGAGGAGCGAAAAGCCAGGGGAGCAAAGCGGG